GACGAACGCUGGCGGCAUGCUUAACACAUGCAAGUCGAACGGUGAACGAGGGAGCUUGCUCCCUCCGGAUCAGUGGCGAACGGGUGAGUAACACGUGAGCAAUCUGCCCCGCACUCUGGGAUAAGCGUUGGAAACGACGUCUAAUACCGGAUACGACGCGGGCGGGCAUUCUCCCCGCGUGGAAAGAACUUCGGUUCGGGAUGAGCUCGCGGCGUGUCAGCUUGUUGGUGUGGUACCGGCACAACAAGGCGACGACGCGUAGCCGGCCUGAGAGGAUGACCGGACACACUGGGAUUGGAACGCGGCCCAGACUACUCCGGGAGGCAGCAGUGGGGAAUAGUGCACAAGGGGCUCAAGCCUGAUGCAGCAAAGCAGCGUGGGGGACGACGGCCUUCGGGUUGUAAUCCUAUUCUAGCAGGGAAGAAGCGAAAGUGACGGUACCUGGAGAAAAAGCACCGGCUAACUACGUG
rnacentral:rRNA from 1 species